UGCGCGGCUGCUAUGGUCGCCGGGGCAGCGCCGAGGAUUUCGGGCCGUUUCCAGUCCCGACGGCCCCGCGUUGUCCCCGAGGUCCGGAGCGCAGUCACCGCACGCUCAGUGAACGGCCGCCGGGUGGCCGCAGAGCCGCCUCCUGGAACCCCUCGUGGGGCCCUUCGAGCGAUGGGGGUGCUCCAAAAGGGGGGGAAAAACGCAUAAUUCUGCACAAAAGCGCGCGUUUCUGUGUAAAAAAAGCGCAUGUUUCUGUGCCAAAGCGGCCUAUUUCUGUACAAAAUCAGUUUCUGGAGGACAGCAGAGGGCGGCACAGCUCCGCACCCCGCGCUGCUGGAACCCGGCUUCGCUCUGCUCGCUGCUCCCGCGCGGGAUGCGGGGACGUUUCGGGUCCGGCAGCUUUCAGUUCCGAGCGAGAUCGAAAGCUGAGAGGAGAUUCGGUUCCUUUUCCCGUCCCGAGGCUGAAGCGGAGAAAGGAAACUUCGGGCUGGUAAAAAAUACGUCGAGGCUCCCAGCUGCGGAUCGCUGCCCUCCGUCAGCGGGCCGGGCGGUGCUGCGGACACUGGGCCGCGGGGCGCCCCGCCGUGCGCCGCGCACGGAGCUCGUGGUCGCAGCGUGUCUACGAGAUGUGUGCAAGUUUGGGUGCGAGGGAAAGGCUCUGCCUCAGCGGGCACGGCGCAGCUCCGCAGCGUUAGGACGGCGCUCAGCCAUAGGAGGUGCAGGACACGGAUGGACCUGACGGCUCUUGGCUGGAUGAAGGCACCAGCAGGAGGGAAAGCUGCAGCGCAGGCACAGCGAUGGCGGAUGGGAUCACCAGCGGCAGACGGAAACGCCGCGGCUAUCGGCGCUCCGAGCAGCGCCGGACCAACUCGGCCCUUUUCUAAGAAACGCCGCAGCAGUUGUGAGCGUUUACGGGAAGGGUGGGCUGUGCUCAACCCGGGCAGCCGCGAUAGUGCAGGGGGAGGAUGCGGCGCGGGGGCUCUGCGCUGCUCUGCUUUCGUGUAAGAGCUGCUUCCCGGAUGGUCCGGAGGAAAAGCGAGAGGGGAGGUUCAGCGCAAACCGCAUCUCUAAAUGGGGCUGAACUUUGAAGGCAUUCGGAGCAGUGCUUCCUGCUCUGAGCGGCCUCAAGGAGGAGAUGAAAGAUGCAGCUGAGCAGGGAAAAAAAAAGCUAAACAAACGGAGUUGACGCUUUGUGCAGAGGGGCAGCAGUGACACAACACGUGAGUGCAUCCAGAGCUGGGACAGAGCUCUAGGGACCCCGGUUCCCAAAAAGCAGCUGUACUUAGAGAAGAGAGCACAGGGAACGGGGUAGGAACGCUGUUUUUAAGCAUAAAACGUGUGGCAUAAACCAAGGAGUGACCCAAUUGGGUUGAGCUGGGGGUCUUGCAAAGUAGCUUGCAGACUGCUCAGUGCCCUGUGGCAGGAGCAGGCACAAUGGGUGAUGGGUGUCCUCCAAAAGCAGCACGGUGCCAACAGCUCCGUAGUACCCGAGUGCCAACAUUCUCAUGACAUCAAAUGAAACAAAACAAAACCUGACCAACAGCCCCGCAGCCAAAGCGUUGCAGAGCUGGGAAGUGGGGUUUGGCAGCUCAGAAAGUGUAACACAAGCGAAGCGUCACUGCUGCCGACCAACAGUAACCGACUUCCCGUAAACUGGCCACGAGCCUCCUCUGGGGCUGGAGGUGGGGGCAGCACGGCAGCUGCCUGCACCCUGUGCAACACCAACAGCACCCACACAACACCAACACCCACCGCGCCAACAGAGCCGGAGCAACAGGCUCGGCAGUGCCCGAAUGUAAUUGGGCUGACAACAUCCGGUGUUUCGCAAGCUGGCUUUGAUGUCUGUUUACUCCCCAUCCCCAGCACAUGCUCCUCAGCGCCCUGCAGCAGACAGGAGGGCUCUGCACUGCUUUGAUCUCUCCCAGACCUGCGGGGAAUGGUUGGGCUGAAGACACCCCGAGGCUGUGCUGUCCCACGGGGCCCUGGGCUGGAGCCUUUGGGGCUGGGCUGUGUCCUGCUCUCACCUCUGUUGGGAUGCUGCAGCCCCGUGGGGGGUCAGCACCCCACUUGCUCCCACUUCUCUCCAUCCCACCCCGCAAUAAUAAAGGGAUGCCUCUGUUCCACGAUUUUCUUUUUAUUUAAAACCGCAUUGUAUAAAAAAAAUAGGAUUUCUGAAUUCCCCUGUACAAUUUUAACUAUUAACAAAAACCCGCCAGCGACACACAGGUUGCAUGGAGACAACAGCGCUCUCUGCCAGCUCAGCCCAAAGAGUGCAUGGGCACACAGCCCCCCCCCGCCCCAAAAACCCCAAAUCCAUCCGUGAUGUGGGACAGACACAUGGACACAGAGCGAAAUCCGACCAGGCACCGGGGCUCAGCAGCUGCAGAAGCAAGGCGUGGGUCGGGGACCCACGUGGGUUAUAAAUAAAUAAAUAAGUUAUCCUCCUG